rnacentral:rRNA from 1 species
UACGUAGGUGGCAAGCGUUGUCCGGAUUUACUGGGCGUAAAGAGCGCGCAGGCGGUCGUGCAAGUCGCGUGUGAAAGCCCCCGGCUCAACUGGGGAGGGUCACGCGAUACUGCUCGACUUGAAGGCAGGAGAGGGAAGUGGAAUUCCCGGUGUAGUGGUGAAAUGCGUAGAUAUCGGGAGGAACACCAGUGGCGAAGGCGA